UACGUAGGGUGCAGGCGUUAAUCGGAAUUACUGGGCGUAAAGCGUGCGCAGGCGGUCUUUUAAGUCAGAUGUGAAAUCCCCGGGCUCAACCUGGGAACUGCGUUUGAAACUGGAAGGCUUGAGUGUGGCAGAGGGGGGUGGAAUUCCACGUGUAGCAGUGAAAUGCGUAGAGAUGUGGAGGAACACCGAUGGCGAAGGCAGCCCCCUGGGCUAACACUGACGCUCAUGCACGAAAGCGUGGGGAGCAAACAGG
rnacentral:rRNA from 1 species